UUCAGAGUCGCACAACAGCAGCAACCAGCUCUUCGCUUUGGCGCCAAAUAGGUUCAACCAAUAGAAGUGCACUGGUGCGGGGUGAUCUGGCACUUUUUGAUUUUUAAAACGGUUACUUAAAAAUAUUCGCAAACUGAAAAAUGUCGAAGAUAACAGCAGCUUAAAGUUGGUCAUGAACUGAUGGUGGAAUGCCUGAAGUCCAAGAACUUUUGUGUUGAAGGAAGACAGAUUACUUCAAUUCCGUUCAGGAAUUCUAAAGGAACCCAUCUUAAAAGCAAACAAACAAACAAACAGUAAAAAUACUUUUGAUUUGCCUUCAA